GAUGUUUGAUAUUAGUAUCAAAUUACUUUUUGGGCCAUUUUUUCUCUCUGGUGACAGUAACCCAUUUGUGUUUAUCUUCAUGUUAAGAGGAAGGAUUGUUAUUUGCACUUAAUGUUUUCAUAAUGCUCCGUCAUGUUUAUUGUUUUAAGCUAUUAUGUAUUGUUCCCAUAAUUCCUUCAGUGGUUUGAUUGUUUAAAUGCCAUAAUGCUCAAUUUUUUUUUUGUUUUUUUUUUCUUUUAUUUUUGACUUCACUGGAUUGCUCAUGUUGCAGGUUUAAACAAUUGACUGGUCGAAAUGAAGUAGCUGUGUCUGCUCGAGACUAUAAGUUUUAUUCUCCAAGACAUAAAUUUAGGCGUGUUGCUUCAAGUUCUGUGUCUAACAUCCCUGGUUUACCUGUUGUGGAUCGAAUUGGCAAGGAGCAUUGCAAAGUUAAUUUGCAAGAGAAGAGAUGUCUCAGCCCGGGAACAAGGAUUUGCAAGCUAGGUUCACCGGAGGGAACUCCUCCGCCGGGACCUCCGGGCCCAUGGUGAAGAAGCUCCGGGUGGCAAAGAAGGCCGCUGGGACACCAACCAAGUCCCCUGCAAAGGGGAAAGACCAGACCCCAGCUGCCCAGGCCAAGGUACCUCCACCUCCUGCAGCAAUGGAGAAGAUGCCCCCGUCCCCUCCACGAGCUCCCGCCUUCGUUCGAGAUAUGGAGAUGGAGCCCGGGACUUUGGUAGCUGCCGCCAUCGAGGUGCGCAUUCCGGUGGACCCCCAGGCCUUGGAGAAAAUUCCUGAUGUCUUUCGGGGGACGGUGUACGAGAGGCGAUCUACACCGUCGACCACUACUACGGGGCCACCGAAAGGGACCUGCGGGCAAUCGAGACAAGGAGCCUGGAGAGUGUGAUGGAGUCUUCACUGGGAAUGGCUCUAACGGGCGCUCUGGCUCUUCACCGGAGCAUAUCCAGGUCUAAGGCUCGGCUCGAGGACAUGAGGGGCGAGCACCAGGCGGUUUUGGCCGCCCAUCAAACGACCUUAGCCGCCCUACAGGCGGCCCAACAACAGGAAAAAGAGGCCAAGGAUGCCUUGGCGGCCGUGCGGGCUGAGCUGGAUGCAACCUGUCCUAAGCUUCAAGAGGCCGAGGCUACCAAGGCCGCCCUUGCUGCCGCGAUGGCCGAGUUGGACUCUGCGAAGAAUGGAGCCGAGGAGGCUAAGGCCGCCCUAGCAACGGAGAAGGCAGCUUCCAGCUCCGCCAUGGAGGACAUGCUCUACCAUUGUUGGGUCUUCAACUCGGACGGUGACUUCUCCUUUUUAGGAGCGGACUAGGAGGACUUCCGGGAAGGGUUCAAAGCUCGCCUCCAGCAAGAGGUGCCUUCUGAGACUGGGGAGGCCUCCACAGUGGCCGAGCAGGAGGGCAAGACGGCGACCUCAACGGAGCAGCCCGGUGGAGCCUAGGGCCUUUCAUUUUCUUUUUACAUAUAUAUAUAUAUAUUUGUAACUUUGUAUGAGGUUUUUUCUCCUCGAGACAAUUGGUUUUAGUCAG